CAGCAGCCGCGGUAAUACAGAUGGUGCAAGCGUUAAUCUGAAUUACUGGGCGUAAAGCGCGCGUAGGUGGUUUGUUAAGUUGGAUGUGAAAUCCCCGGGCUCAACCUGGGAACUGCAUCCAAAACUGGCAAGCUAGAGUAUGGUAGAGGGUGGUGGAAUUUCCUGUGUAGCGGUGAAAUGCGUAGAUAUAGGAAGGAACACCAGUGGCGAAGGCGACCACCUGGACUGAUACUGACACUGAGGUGCGAAAGCGUGGGGAGCAAACAGGAUUAGAUACCCCGGUAGUCCCUGUCUCUUAUAC
rnacentral:rRNA from 1 species